rnacentral:tRNA from 1 species
GCUUAAAUAGUUUAAAAAACAUAGUAUUUUCAUUGCUAAAUUGGAGAAUUUUUUCCUUUAAGUA